rnacentral:rRNA from 1 species
ACCCGAUGCAAACUGCGAAUACCGGAGAAUGUUAUCACGGGAGACACACGGCGGGUGCUAACGUCCGUCGUGAAGAGGGAAACAACCCAGACCGCCAGCUAAGGUCCCAAAGUCAUGGUUAAGUGGGAAACGAUGUGGGAAGGCCCAGACAGCCAGGAUGUUGGCUUAGAAGCAGCCAUCAUUUAAAGAAAGCGUAAUAGCUCACUGGUCGAGUCGGCCUGCGCGGAAGAUGUAACGGGGCUAAACCAU